CCUACAGGGGGGCUGCAGUGGGGAAUCUUGCACAAUGGAGGAAACUCUGAUGCAGCGACGCCGCGUGAGUGAAGAAGUAAUUCGUUAUGUAAAGCUCUAUCAGCAGGGAAGAUAGUGACGGUACCUGACUAAGAAGCUCCGGCUAAAUACGUGCCAGCAGCCGCGGUAAUACGUAUGGAGCAAGCGUUAUCCGGAUUUACUGGGUGUAAAGGGAGUGUAGGUGGCCAUGCAAGUCAGAAGUGAAAAUCCGGGGCUCAACCCCGGAACUGCUUUUGAAACUGUGGGGCUAGAGUGCAGGAGGGGUGAGUGGAAUUCCUAGUGUAGCGGUGAAAUGCGUAGAUAUUAGGAGGAACACCAGUGGCGAAGGCGGCUCACUGGACUGUAACUGACACUGAGGCUCGAAAGCGUGGGGAGCAAACA
rnacentral:rRNA from 1 species